rnacentral:tRNA from 1 species
GAGGUAUUAGUAAAACUUACGUAACUUUGUCAAAGUUAAAUUACAGGUGAGACCCCCGUAUAUCUCU